rnacentral:rRNA from 1 species
GACGAACGCUGGCGGCGUGCUUAACACAUGCAAGUCGAACGGAAAGGCCCUGCUUGCAGGGUACUCGAGUGGCGAACGGGUGAGUAACACGUGGGUGAUCUGCCCUGCACUUCGGGAUAAGCCUGGGAAACUGGGUCUAAUACCGGAUAGGAGCCAUUUUUAGUGUGAUGGGUGGAAAGUUUUUUCUGUGUAGGAUGAGCUCGCGGCCUAUCAGCUUGUUGGUGGGGUAAUGGCCUACCAAGGCGGCGACGGGUAGCCGGCCUGAGAGGGUGGACGGCCAAAUUGGGACUGAGAUACGGCCCAGACUCCUACGGGGGGCAGCAGUGGGGAAUAUUGCACCAUGGGGGCGAGCCUGAUGCAGCGACGCCGCGUGGGGGAUGACGGCCUUCGGGUUGUAAACUCCUUUCGCUAGGGACGAAGCUUUUUGUGACGGUACCUAGAUAAGAAGCACCGGCUAACUACGUG